GCCGAAUGGAGAAGCUGAAUGAUGAGAAGCAACACCGGAGCAGAUAAUGAAGACUGAAUAACUAAACCAGAGGUCACAGAACCACUGGCAUGAUCUCAUUUAAAGUGCUAGUUAAACCCCCCAAAGUAACAACUAAAGAGUGCCCAAUUAUUAUCUGUAUCCUCGGCCAACCGCUCACAGCCCCACCGCCGACUCGGGAAACGGAGGCUGGGGAACGCGUCCUCCGAAACGUGCUCCUGCCAA